rnacentral:misc_RNA from 1 species
ACCAAGCAUUGUGUAGUUCAUCUGUCAAAAAAAUGUCAGAACAUUUAGCAAUUGCAUCUCAGGUAAAAAUGCACCAUUGUUAGGAUGAAAAAGAAAUUUAAUUUUUGUUUCUUGACCAUUAUCUUUUGGGAACUUACAAUUAUUUUCUUUCUUUUAAAUUCUUGCAGCCUCUUGAGAAUGGCCAUCAUGUACCACAGAGUUCUUCACCAGCAAAAAAGUAUGGUACAGAUUCAGACAAAAAUUUUAGGAGAUCUCAGAUUGAACGGUUGCAUGUAUGUGCUUAAAUGGCUGAAAAGUAAAGUUCUUUCUAUGGUAUUUUUGUUUCAAAGGCUUAUUUUGAUAUUUUUUCAUAUUUAUGAUGCAGGAGAAUGUGGAUUCUCUGAUUAAAUGUGUGGGGCAAAAUCUUGGUUUUAGUCGAGGAAAGCCUGUUGCUGCAAUUACUAUAUACAGAUGCCUUGUCCACUGGAGAUCAUUUGAAGCGGAAAAAACUAGUGUAUUUGAUCGUCUAAUUCAGCUGAUUGGUUCUGCAAUGGAGAACCAGGAUAGCAAUGAUCAUAUGGCCUAUUGGCUAUCUAAUACAUCUACACUGUUAUGCUUACUUCAACAGACUUUAAAAGGAAGUCAAAAGCCGCCUGUUCCAACAUCAUUUUUUGGCAGGAUGACCCAAAGUUUCCGUUCAUCCACUUCCUCCGCUAACCUUAAGGUGGGUAAAGAUCCAGUACAGCUGGUUGAAGCUAAAUAUCCAGCUUUGCUGUUUAAGCAGCAGCUUACAGCAUAUGUGGAAACAAUAUAUGGAAUCAUUCGAGACAAUUUAAAGAAGGACUUGUCACCACUGCUUUCUUCCUGUACCCAGGCAUCCAGUGCAUCAGACGGAAAUGCUUUAGAGUCAGCUCCAGCUAAUUACUGGCACAAGAUUGUUGAGACACUGGAUGAGAUGCUAAACAAAUUCCAAGAAAAUUUUGUACCUCCAAUUCUUGUUCAGAAGAUCUUUACUCAAAUUUUGUCUCACAUCAAUGUUCAGCUGUUUAAUAGUCUUCUUCUUCAUCGAGAGUGCUGCACAUUCAGCAAUGGAGAAUAUGUGAAGGCUGGGUUGGACGAAUUAGAACUGUGGUGUGGCCAAGCAAGAGAUGAGUACAUAGGCUCAGCUUGGGAUGAACUUAAACAUACAAGGCAAGCUGUUGGAUUCUUGGUUAUACAUCAGAAGUCAAGAAUAUCCUAUGAUGAAAUUUCAAGUGACCUUUGCCCUGUCCUGAAUAUUCAACAGCUUUACCGAGUAUGCACGCUGUACUGGGAUGACAACUACAAUACUCAAAGCGUUUCCCCAGAUGUCAUUUCCAGCAUGAAAGCUCUGACAGAUGAUUCCAACAAUGAUGACAGCAAUUCCUUUUUGUUGAAAGAGGAUUCCAGUAUUCCUUUCUCAAUUGAACAAGUUUCUCUCCAAGACAAGGAUUUUUCAAAUGUAAAAGUUCCUUCAGACCUUCUUGAGAAUUCAGACUUCCAAUUUUUACAGGAAUAAGGCUGUGGUUCUUUUAUUGUUCUUUUUCCGUUUCAACAUUCCAUCAAGAUUCAACAGUUAUUCGAAAUUCCAGUCAAUGCCUUGCAGUAAAUCUGCCUCCAUGUUUUCUGUUUUUUUCUCCAUCAUUUUAACAUUCAUUGCCCCAGAUGUAAUAUUAUUCUGUCAAAUUAGAGUUGUAAAAAUCUCACUAGAUUGGUUCUCAUAGUUGAUGGGGCUUUACAGUUUUUUAGUUUAUUUUUUUAAUAUUUUUUUCAAAGCAUGUCUUUGCUUAAAGGUCAAUUGGACCUGCAUUCUUUCUAGGAUGGUAGGAAGGGAAAUUUUUUGUGCAGUAUGCUGGGAAGCUGAUCUUAGAAACUAUUCAGCCUCCCAAAUUUCAUGUUGUAAAAAGCCAUGAAACGAAACUUGAUAUUUAUAGUCAAAUAAAUUAUUGCGGGUCUUAUUUGUUCUUGCAUGACCGUUGAUACAUUUACUGCUACAUAAUUGAUUAAUACCUUUCUUAGUUUGUUGCUUUGCCUUAUGUUUUAACUGGAAGUUCUGAGUUGGCCAUCUAAGUUCGCAUAAUGUUCUUUGGUGGAGAGAGAGAUAAAAGUCUUUUUUAUUUUUCAAUUUCUUUGUUCUAUAAUUUUUU